AGCAUCUGCUAUACCCACCCAGCGUAUAACCAUCUAUCCCUUCUCCUCCCUUCCUAACCAUCUCAGCUUUUAUUCAGGUGUCCCUGUCCGUCCCAUGUAGCCUGAGUGUCUCAGGGGAAGCUGAGCCUACCCCAGCUCCAGGCAGGGGUCCUGACUAGCACAGCCAAUCAGCACAUUCCAGACCUCUGGUUAUGGUGAGGAACCUGCUGUACAGAGAGGUUAAGAUCUUACCCAAGGUCACCUAGUUAAUAAGUGGCAGAGUUGGGAUUCAAACUCAGGCAUCUUGACUUCACGGCUGUUUGGAGCUGGUCAGACUACUUUCGUGAUCCUGUGUCUCCUCCCCUCUCCUCUGCAUACCUGCUCUGUUUGCUCUGGUUCUUCCAUCAUCACCUCCUGCCUGUGGCCUCAUCUCUCCAGCGCUGAUCUUCCCAUCCUUGCAGCCAAAUGCACAC
ensembl:lncRNA